GACGUAGGGCGCGAGCGUUGUCCGGAUUUAUUGGGCGUAAAGAGCUCGUAGGCGGUCUGUCGCGUCUGCUGUGAAAACUCAGGGCUUAACCCUGAGCUUGCAGUGGGUACGGGCAGACUAGAGUGCGGUAGGGGGAGACUGGAAUUCCUGGUGUAGCGGUGAAAUGCGCAGAUAUCAGGAGGAACACCGGUGGCGAAGGCGGGUCUCUGGGCCGUAACUGACGCUGAGGAGCGAAAGCAUGGGGAGCGAACAGG
rnacentral:rRNA from 1 species